UUCAUAUUUUAAAGAGCACCUAUUAUGAGAUACACGUUUUUAAACAUCCUUUUGUGUGUAAGUGUGUAUUAGUACAUGCUAACGAUAUUCAAAAAGUACAUACCUCAAAGAAAACGAUGACGCGAGUUAUCGUCUCUAACGUUCGAGGACUACAAAAAACACUCGGAUUGUAGGCAACAGUUUACUUCCUGGGAUUGGUGACGUAGAUAAGACCAACAUUAUCAUAGUUCAGCCCUCUCUGCUUGGCUUGGGUACGCCCUCAAAGACGGGGGUGGAGAGCGCUGAGUCAGAAGAGAGCUAAAAUGGCGGAGGUUGGGAGUCCCUGCUUUGACCCUGUUUGCAAACUCUUGUUUCAUUGUUUAAGCGAUUAAAUCUCUCGAGUAGACGCUGUCUCUUUAGAUGCAAGGGCAAAAUAGCACUUUAUGGACUAACACAGAGGACAUCAUGUUUAAUACGGUUCCGGAAAAAUCCAGUCAGAAGUUGUUCACGGAGUUUUCACAAUAACUGCUUCUGAUGAACCAAAGCUGCGCGACGUCUCCUCCUGAAAGUUGGAUUACUGUGCACUUCUGGAUCACAGGCUAUUCGCUGCUGGACACAUCCUUCUACACUGUAUGCAAACAUGCAACAUCAUUACACACAGUACAAGGCAUAUGAGGAGCAAAGGAACCCAGGCAGUAGCAUCGUUUCACAAUGUUUACAUCACCAUCAUCAGUGGAUGCCUUUGCCGUCCGUAGCCUGAGAUUUCAGAUUUGCAGCAAAAAAUGUGACUUUCCCAUUUAUUGGAAUGCUGUGCAGGUUGUACCUUGCAGCCAUCCAUUACAAUGUCACCAAGCCAUAACAAAAGCAGGAGAGGGAAAGUACAAGGCUAUGUUCCCAAAACACACAAGUGACAUACUGUAAGCAGUAAUGUUUUAUUUCAAAUACAUUCAUAAUUAAAAACUUAAUGUAUGAAGCAGGGAAAUAAAUUAUCAAAACAAAAGAUUUAUUGACUGCAAUAUUUGUACAGUUAUGUGGAUGAUGUGAUCAGGCUUGUGUUUGAUGAGGUAUUUGAAGAUAAGCUGAAGGAAACCCCGAUUCCAAUGGACCUGGCAUCACAGUUUGAGAGACCUUCAAAGGAGGACGUGAUUGCAUGCCAUCUUCAGUGCAGGGGUCGUCGGAAGCCAACAUUCCGAUCAGGAAGCUCCAAGCAUAUCUGGAGAACAACACACGACAGGAUGAUAACCUUAUAGUGUCGUCUUAGAUAGCACCAGCUGACAAAGCUUUGAUAUGCCAUUUAUCUGAAUAGAUAGCUGUAAGAAGUGAAUUGAACAAUUUUUUGAAAGAAGAGCACAAUAUGGUUACUAAAGUAUGUUUAUUUGUAUAUUGUUUAACAGUUAAAUAUAUAUUUGUAAUAAAUAAACUUUUGACUGACUACUA